ACCGUGACUCGUUAAAAAAGGGGAACUAUGUACAAUGUGGAUUUCCAUACUUGAACACGCAAUUAAUAUGUAGACGUUGCUCAUUACAAACAUUAAUCUCAAGGCGUUAUAUUUCAUUCUCAGCCUGGGAAAGUGGUGACAACGCAGAUCGAGCAUGAAAGUUCAGCAGAAUUUUGAGACAAGGGUGGUUUAGAACCAAUUUACAGACCUGAUAGCAUCCGGGAGGAUAAUCCAAUUUACAGACCAGAUGACGAAAAUUCAC